AAGUCGUAACAAGGUUUCCGUAGGUGAACCUGCGGAAGGAUCAUUAACUUAGACUGCUUGUCCAGUCUCACGGAGGGCAGCUUUCUAUUAAGCUGCCUGUCUGACACCCUUGCUUUUUGCGCACCCAUUGUUUCCUCGGCAGGCUUGCCUGCCAGUAGGACCCUCUUAAAACUCUUUGCAGUUGCAGUCAGCGUCAGAAACAACGUAAUCGUUACAACUUUCAACAACGGAUCUCUUGGUUCUG
rnacentral:misc_RNA from 1 species